rnacentral:rRNA from 1 species
UACGUAGGCAGCGAGCGUUGUUCGGGAUUACUGGGCGUAAAGAGUGUGUAGGCGGUGCUCCCAGUCUGUUGUGAAAUCUCCCGGCUUAACUGGGAGGGUGCAGCGGAAACUAGAGUGCUAGAGGGUGGGAGAGGUAAGCGGAAUUCCUGGUGUAGCGGUGAAAUGCGUAGAUAUGCGGAGGAACACCGAUGGCGAAGGCAAUCCCCUGGGCCUGCACUGACGCUCAUGCACGAAAGCGUGGGGAGCAAACAGG